CAUUAUUGAAAUAAAUCUGAUAAGUUGUUGCUGGUUCUCUAGGGAACAUGUGCACACUUGUCAUCUUUAUAUCUCCACCUGUGCACCUUUUGUAGACCUGGAUAUCUCUCUGACUGCUAGACACUCAGGUUUGGGGAUUGACUUAUGUCUUUCCUUAUAUUUCUCGGUCUAUGCUUCUUCAUAUACCCAAUUGUAUGUUAUAGAAUGUAACCAAAUGGCCUUUGUGCCUAUAAAUCUAUACAACUUUCAGCAACGGAUCUCUUGGCUCUCGCAUCGAUGAAGAACGCAGCGAAAUGCGAUAAGUAAUGUGAAUUGCAGAAUUCAGUGAAUCAUCGAAUCUUUGAACGCACCUUGCGCUCCUUGGUAUUCCGAGGAGCAUGCCUGUUUGAGUGUCAUUAAUAUAUCAAUUCUUUUCAGCUUUUGCUUGUUGAGUGUUGGAUGUGGGGGGUCAUUUUUUGCUGGUCCUUUCAGRUCAGCUCCCCUGAAAUGUAUUAGCGGAACAAUUGUAAACCGUUCAUUGGUGUGAUAACUAUCUACGCUAUUGACGUGAAGCACAGUUCAGCUUCUAACAGUCCAUUGACUUGGACAAAUUUUCAUUAAUGUGACCUCAAAUC
rnacentral:rRNA from 1 species